rnacentral:rRNA from 1 species
GACGAACGCUGGCGGCGUGCCUAAUACAUGCAAGUCGAGCGAAGUUUUUCUGGUGAUUGUACUAGAAAAACUUAGCGGCGAACGGGUGAGUAAAACGUAACGAACCUGCCUCAUAGACUGGGACAACUAUUGGAAACGAUAGCUAAUACCGGAUAACAGUAUUUCUUGCAUGAGAGUUAUUUAAUAGUUGGUUAUGCUAACACUAUGAGAUGGCUUUGCGAUGCAUUAGCUAGUUGGCGGGGUAAAGGCCCACCAAGGCGACGAUGCAUAGCCGACCGGAGAGGGUGAUCGGCCACACUGAGACUGAGACACGGCCCAGACUCCUACGGAAGGCAGCAGUAGGGAAUCUUCCGCAAUGGGCGAAAGCCUGACGGAGCAGCGCCACGUGAGUGAAGAAGGAUUUCGGUUCGGGAAGCUCUGUUGUUAGGGAAGAAUGGAUUUUUAGUAACUAUACAUGUAAGAGACGGUACCUAACCAGAAAGCCACGGCUAACUACGUG